CAUGAGCUUCCUCUUGUAACAGAGCCAUGUAAUCAGACAUAGGUGACAAAAUGUUGCCAUGCCUCGAUUCAUUCAGUAGAAUAGCAGCCCAUGGGUUUUGUGCUCCUCUGCACCAGGUGCUGUGUCAGGAGAUAGGGACACAAGAUGGAGCAGAAUCCUUGCUCUCAAGAAGCUUAGAGUGGCUGCCAUAUACACCAGAGCAAGGCGGACCCCCAUGUGCCUUGGAAGCACAUGGCAGGCCUGCUGCUGCCCUAACCCUCCUGCCUGUCCCUCUGCCUGGGACAUCCUCCCCUGCUUUCUA
rnacentral:lncRNA from 1 species